UAGAUGUCACUGGGUGAUCUCCAUGGAUAGCCCAGAGGACUGGCUGAGUGUGUGGGAUGAGAUGAUGAAAGAAAAAUCAAAGCACAGGGUUUUCCAUUCCCAAACUCUUAAGGGAAUGGUGUCCUGAAACGCUGUGUUCAGAAGAUGUGUGGCAGGCACAGGCAGAGACUGGAGAUGGAAGAGACAAGGGCUGAGACGCCCACGGGCAGCCACAUUAGGAUGGGUACAAAGUGAUGGGGGCCUGGACCACAAAGCAAGGGCGAGGGCACAGGAAGGACCAACAGGACUGAGCAUGGACAGGCUGCUGCAGGCAAAGACAUGAGGAAGACGAGUCCGGGGCCUGGGACCUGGGAGUUAGUGUUCUUCAGGUAGAAGCUUCACCUGGAGAUGGGGGAGGGUAGGCCUUUGAUGGAGUCACCUGAGAGGCACAGCCAUUUGUUCAAUGAGUUCAGCAUCUUCAGGUACCACAAUUCCUGCGCACUGCCAACUUUGAGAAGUGCUGCCUAAGAUCCAGGGGGUGGCAAGCUUCUUUUUACAGAGCCAGAUGCAUCCUGGAAGACCAAAGCUGCUGCGAUCUGGGAUCAUUUGACCUUUUAGGUCACUUCUUGUUUAUGGUGUGUUUUUUCUUCUUUUCUCAAAUUGCACUCCAGCCCCCAAAUGACAACCAACUCUCCAUCCAGUCAAAACAAAGACAAUACAAAUGAUCACCCUUUGGUUUCCAAUGGAAAUUAAAAAAAAUGCUUUUGGAAAGUUUUGCCCUGAGAGAUUUUUAAUGGAGACAAAGGUGAGAGAAGACAUGUUCACAGUCUUGGGGACAGCAGGAAAGGCUCUGGAACCUCAUCCCCUCAUCCCUUGGCUUCACAGAUGAGGAAACCAAGGCUCAGGAAGCAAAGUGACUUUUCCAAGUUGGUGAGAGAGGUCUUCCUACCUAGAGACGUCUUCUCACGACACUGUGAUGGCCUCCUGUUCCUUGGAGGAGGAUUUUAUUGUUUUCUCACAUUAAACAAUCUAUCUCUUUCCCCUUUUGCUUCCUUAAGUCCCUGUGACCAUGUGAGAGUGGUUUUCUCCACCAGAAGAAUAAUAGCAACUGCUUUUAGGGAGCAAAGUGUCAUUGUGAAAAUACUUGGAUAAACUGCCUGGAGUGGAUGAUGAACUCUGAGGUCCAGGGGGUGGCAGAAACCAAGGUAACAAGAGAUAAUGACUAAACUGAGUAGGGCAACAUGAAAUGGCCUGAUUUUGCUUCCAGGGCUGAAGAGAGAGGAAAGGAACAGAGAAGGGAGACAGGAGAUGGUGGAGGGCCUGAGAGGCAGGGAGGACUGCUAAGACUGACCUUGAAUCUGAAGUUGACUUGCUGUGAUUUAAACCUCUUCUGUUACCAGCUCUCCCAAAUCUUCACUGGAAUGGUACAUCUAGGUUUAUACCCAGUUUUCUGCCUUUAGAUCUCUUGGUUUAGAUUCCUUUCACCUCCUUUCUAUUCCCAUCAUAUGAACAAAAAAUUUAUCUUCUGUGGCCUCAUAUGUUCAAAAGCCUUCCUUGGGAUACAUGGCCACACUUCCGGUGCACCCACACUUCUGGGUGACCUUGUCCUCGAGGGCCCUAGUUUCCCUACGUGUAAAAUGAGGGCGAUAAAGGAUAAUUUACAAUCUUUUGUGAGGCUUAAAUGAAACACGUGGCAACUGCACCUAGUUGAGAACUGGAACUGAGUAAGGAUAAAAAAAUGCUGGCAUGCCCUUCGUUCCCUUGGAGCUGCCUCUGCCUCCCUCCACACACCUUGGCAAUCUGGCCAUGGGAUCCUCUAUCUCAUGAAACACACAUCCACUUCUGCACCAAGAGAGGAGCCUGGCCUGUUUUCCUUGGCCUCUUCAACCUCACUUCUAUUCACACAUGAUUCUCAAGCCCUGUUGGAAGUCGGUGUUGUAAUUGGGAAGCCACUGCAAGGUAUUUAAGUUUUAAUAAUGUUCUGGGAUGAUGGCAAUUAGGACUUCCGGGGAAUUUUUAUAACUGUUACCUUUCUCUCAUUCUGUUUUUUAAAAAAAUGUGCUUGCUUUUUUUUUUUUUUAAGCAUUUUUUGGUUUGUUUUGGAGGCAAGCUAUGGAAAGCCUCAAGGAUGGAUCAAGGGUUCUGUUCAUUUUAGGAACAGCAAGGGUGGCUGUUGGAAGAAGCCCGUAGCCCGGCAUGUUGGAUGACAGCUGUAGAUGAAUUGUAAAUGGAAAAUGCAAGGAUUUGAGCAUCUCCUGGGGAUGCAGGCAGUAGGAAGCCUCUGGAAUAUAAGUGACAGUUCUUGGCCAGAGCUCCCACCAUUUGCUCACAUAUGUUAUCUUGUUUAAUUCUCUGAAACCUUGAGAGGUAGGAAUUACUAUCCCUAUGUCACUGGAGCCCAGAGAAGGUAACAUGUCAAAGCUGCCACAGAAGUGGUGAUGGUGGGUUUGAAGGAAAGGGCCUUGUGAUUCCAAAACCCAGGCUCCUUUCUUUUGCUGGUGGCACAGUUCCUUAGAACAAUGGAAACUCUUCUUUACCUGGAAGAAUAGGGCCUGGUAGAGGGCUGACCAAGGCACACAUAUACUUGGUUAUAUCUUGGGCUGCUUCUUGGCUUUCCCCAGAACCCUUCCCCAUGUGCCCCACUGCCCAGCCAAGGACUAACUGAAUUGUUUCAGCCUCUCCUACAGCAGUUUCCCUUUUUUUGCAGCUCCUGGAAACCCUGUACAUCACACACUCAAGUGAAAGGACCUCUAUGCCAUAACCCUUCCUCUUAUAAUGAAUUCCUAGGUCCAAAACUAUGUGCUGAAGUAGAUCUUUUUCUCAUUUGUCUCCCUGGGAAUGGAAACUGUUGGUUUACUAAACUGGGAAAUAUUAUGACUCAAGGAAAAACACCAGGUUCCUUGGGAGAUGUUAUUAUCCAACCCAAGAACUUGUCUGUUGGGGCUAGAAUGACUAAGACAUUAAAUAAAAGAUAAUUCCUUCUUACUCUCUCUCGUCAACCAUAGAUGCACCCUAUAUGCAUAUUUAUUUUACUGAGGAAUGAAGACAUUGCGCUUCAUGCAUUCUCAGAAGGAAGAAAUUUGGCUGAAAUAUUUAGGCUCUUUCACGCAUCUUUUGAAGGAUGGUAAAGAACAGGGUUAUCUGUCAAACUCAAUGUGUUCCAUAAUAAUAACUCAGGUGGCAGCCAGAUGAAUAAUGCUCAUGUGGGCAGACUAUUUCCCUUCUUUUGCAACUGUAACCCAAAAGGUACAGCAUUGGCAGACCUGAUGCCUACACAUGGCUUCCAAGUGACCAUACUAAUGAUAUACACUUGUGUACAUAAAUAUUUAGGACAUGCAAACCAGUUGGAUAAACACUGAUCCUUCACCUUUUGUGGAACCUUGAAAUUCUUAAUUUUUACCAGUCCCCUCUUUAAGAUCCAGAUCAUAUUUAUGAGCUUUUAAAUCAUGCCCCCAGAUGUGUAAGUGUAAGAAAGGCUAAAUGUUGUGGUUUCAGGUAAUCUAUCCUGCAUGUGGCUGGUGAAAUUUAUUUUCCCAAGAUGCUGCUGUCAUCAUGUCAUUCCUCUGGCUCAAAAGGCUUCCUGAUGUCAGCUGUCAUUUAAACAGGCUGAUUAUUUCCUCCCAGGCAUCUGUUUGAGCCCCUGAUUUCAGGUGGAAAGGUACCUGGGCCUGCAGGAGUUAUAAGAGCAAGCUUACCCCAGCUGUGGAUAAAUGAGUGAAUGUAGAGGUUUUGAGAAUGAUCCAGUGUCCUUACACUCUGACAGGAAAAAUACUUGAUUAGAGUGAUAAUACAUAUUAAUUGGCAAGAAAAUUAUUAAUUUCUUAUUCUAAAUGUAUGAAGUUGGUUUUAUG